rnacentral:rRNA from 1 species
AACGAACGCUGGCGGCAGGCUUAACACAUGCAAGUCGAGCGCCCCGCAAGGGGAGCGGCAGACGGGUGAGUAACGCGUGGGAACGUACCCUUUGCUACGGAAUAGCUCCGGGAAACUGGAAUGAAUACCGUAUGUGCCCUACGGGGGAAAGAUUUAUCGGCAAAGGAUCGGCCCGCGUUGGAUUAGCUAGUUGGUGGGGUAAUGGCCUACCAAGGCGACGAUCCAUAGCUGGUCUGAGAGGAUGAUCAGCCACAUUGGGACUGAGACACGGCCCAAACUCCUACGGGAGGCAGCAGUGGGGAAUAUUGGACAAUGGGCGCAAGCCUGAUCCAGCCAUGCCGCGUGAGUGAUGAAGGCCUUAGGGUUGUAAAGCUCUUUCAGUGGGGAAGAUAAUGACGGUACCCACAGAAGAAGCCCCGGCUAACUUCGUGCCAGCCGCCGCCGUAAUAC